ensembl:snRNA U6 U6 spliceosomal RNA
GUGCUCACUUUGGCAGCACACAUACUAACAUUGUCAACCACACAGAGAGAUUAGCGCGGUCUCUGCUCCAGGAUGACACGCAGCUGUGAAAAAGGAGUCCUUGCGAU